CGCGGGUCGUCCAAGGCCGGCCUGAACCGGAUCCGGUUCCUGCUCCAGAGUCUGGUCGAUUUGGAUUUGAGCCUCAAGAAGCUCGGGUCCAGAUUGUUGGUGCUUAAAGGCGACCCCAGCGAGGUCAUCGUUCGCUACCUUAAGGAGUGGGAUGUGAAAAAGCUUUGCUUUGAGUAUGAUACUGAAC